GGGGACGUAUUGGCAUCGACAGGAGAGUGAGCUGGUCAGUAAGCAUGCCGGGGCAGGAUUGUUUACCCCGUUAACAAAUAGCGAUCAACCAUAUUUGGCGACUACAAGCUCGCUAUGGCUGCCUAAUUCUAGGAAUUAGCGCACCAUUGUAUGACGAUGCCUGCUCUACGUGAGCACCCGCCUUUGCCGAACUGGCCCGCGUCUCAUACAUCAUAACCGUUUCGGCUGGAAAACUGCAUUGGCCCGGUGCAGGUUUCGAGAUUCCGGGCUGGAUUGGCGGAAUGGGUUGGUGAACUGACCUCCCCGACAAUUGAGAUUCAAACAGAUCACUAAGCAUGUAGAAGGCUUUCUGGUGCUUUCUCUGGACGCGAGUUCGACUCUCGCCGUCUCCACAA
rnacentral:tmRNA from 1 species